rnacentral:rRNA from 1 species
GAUGAACGCUGGCGGCGUGCCUAAUACAUGCAAGUCGAGCGAACGGACGAGAAGCUUGCUCCUCUGAUGUUAGCGGCGGACGGGUGAGUAACACGUGGAUAACCUACCUAUAAGACUGGGAUAACUUCGGGAAACCGGAGCUAAUACCGGAUAAUAUUUUGAACCGCAUGGUUCAAAAGUGAAAGACGGUUUUCCUGACUCUUAUAGCUGGAUCCGCGUUGCAUUAGCUAGUUGGUAAGGUAACGGCUUACCAAGGCAACGAUGCAUAGCCGACCUGAGAGGGUGAUCGGCCACACUGGAACUGAGACACGGUCCAGACUCCUACGGGAGGCAGCAGUAGGGAAUCUUCCGCAAUGGGCGAAAGCCUGACGGAGCAACGCCGCGUGAGUGAUGAAGGUCUUCGGAUCGUAAAACUCUGUUAUUAGGGAAGAACAUAUGUGUAAGUAACUGUGCACAUCUUGACGGUACCUAAUCAGAAAGCCACGGCUAACUACGUG